UUUCCGUAGGUGAACCUGCGGAAGGAUCAUUAACAAUCCAAACCGAUUCUUUGGUCCGGUUCGCCGGUCAAAGUCUUAAACCUUUGUGAAAACAAACUUUUUUUGCUUCGGCAGCUGGUCGGACCUUCCGGCCUGACCGUCAGCCUGCCGGCGGCACCCAACCUAAACUUUUUUAAACUCAUGUCAGUCUAAAAACUUUUUUGAAUGAAAUUAAAACUUUCAACAACGGAUCUCUUGGUUCUCGCAUCGAUGAAGAACGCAGC
rnacentral:misc_RNA from 1 species